GGAAGAGGAAUGUCUGCGACUAAGUCAAGGGCCACUGGAUAAGGGUUGUUGAUGGCAAAACAGGAAGAGGAAUGUCUGCGACUAAGUCAAGGGCCACUGGAUAAGGGUUGUUGAUGGCAAAACAGGAAGAGGAAUGUCUGCGACUAAGUCAAGGGCCACUGGAUAAGGGUUGUUGAUGGCAAAACAGGUUGGAGACUACAUAAGACUUUGACAGUUGGCGGGAAACCAUCAUCAACUGGAUUGAUGUCGGUAAAAAGAUGGCCAUAAAACAGUGACCGCUGAUUCGCAUUGAGUUCUUUCUUACAUAUUGGAUGACCUAUGU